rnacentral:rRNA from 1 species
UCGAGAAUCUUCCGCAAUGGACGAAAGUCUGACGGAGCGACGCCGCGUGCGGGAUGAAGGCCCUCGGGUUGUAAACCGCUGUCAGAGGGGAGGAAAUUUUGACCGAUCCUCAGAGGAAGUCCGGGCUAAGUUCGUGCCAGCAGCCGCGGUAACACGAACCGGACGAACGUUAUUCGGAAUUACUGGGCUUAAAGAGUGCGUAGGCGGCUAUGUAGGUGGGGUGUGAAAGCCCACGGCUCAACCGUGGAAUUGCGCUCCAAACCACAUAGCUUGAGGGAGACAGGGGUAAGCGGAACUGAUGGUGGAGCGGUGAAAUGCGUUGAUAUCAUCAGGAACACCAGUGGCGAAGGCGGCUUACUGGGUCUCUUCUGACGCUGAGGCACGAAAGCUAGGGUAGCGAACAGGAUUAGAUACCCCCGUAGUCC